CCUACGGGGGGCAGCAGUCGAGAAUCAUGCACAAUGGGGGAAACCCUGAUGGAGCGACGCCGCGUGGGGGAAUGAAGGUCUUCGGAUUGUAAACCCCUGUCAUGUGGGAGCAAAUUAAAAAGAUAGUACCACAAGAGGAAGAGACGGCUAACUCUGUGCCAGCAGCCGCGGUAAUACAGAGGUCUCAAGCGUUGUUCGGAAUCACUGGGCGUAAAGCGUGCGUAGGCUGUUUCGUAAGUCGUGUGUGAAAGGCGCGGGCUCAACCCGCGGACGGCACAUGAUACUGCGAGACUAGAGUAAGGGAGGGGGAACCGGAAUUCUCGGUGUAGCAGUGAAAUGCGUAGAUAUCGAGAGGAACACUCGUGGCGAAGGCGGGUUCCUGGACAUUAACUGACGCUGAGGCACGAAGGCCAGGGGAGCGAAAGGGAUUAGAUACCCGGGUAGUC
rnacentral:rRNA from 1 species